UACGUAGGGUGCAAGCGUUGUCCGGAAUUAUUGGGCGUAAAGAGCUCGUAGGUGGCCUGUCGCGUCGGCUGUGAAAACUCGGGGCUCAACUCCGAGCUUGCAGUCGAUACGGGCAGGCUAGAGUUCGGCAGGGGAGACUGGAAUUCCUGGUGUAGCGGUGAAAUGCGCAGAUAUCAGGAGGAACACCGGUGGCGAAGGCGGGUCUCUGGGCCGAUACUGACACUGAGGAGCGAAGGCGUGGGGAGCGAACGGG
rnacentral:rRNA from 1 species